UUUUAAAAACUUGCACAAAUCGAAAUAAACACACAAAAAAAAUUGUAUUUUAUCCUGUGGGUGUUAAGAGAUGUUUCACUUGCUGAGAUUUCCUGUACUUUGCAAAUACAGAAUGCAAACCCUCAACACUGUUAUUAUCUGGUGUGUUUGUCCUGUAUUUACAGUUGUGAUGACCAUGCAGGAGCUAUCAGUGCUAGAGCUUUCAAGAGAGUGCAUGAAAACUGAUGGGAGUGAUUGGAGAAGUUCCCACCACACACAGGGGACAGGUUUGAAAUUUAUCAACCCAAGGGCUAGGCCAUGGUGUAGACUUGUCCCAUGCAUGUGAAAAUGUGCUACUUUCAGGACGUGCAAUUGGUGCUACUCUCUGUGACCACCCACGGGUCAGUUGCUAUAGAACAAUAACAACACGAGACAUCUGCGCAGUUGUCAGAAUGUCACUCAGUCCAUAGGUCCUCCACGGUGCUAUUGCCCUAAGGGAAAUCGGAACUGAAUUUAUGCACAUAGAAUGGUCACCCUGACUUUGAAGCCUCAAACGUGGAUCACAUCUGUGGUGAAGCAUCAAUAUAUGUAGCUGGAUGAGUGACUAGUGGCCCUUGUAUAAUAUGUGAUCUAAGAAAAUUGCUAAUCUUUCCCUGCCGUUUUGAGAAACACAGUCCAAACACGGUCAUAAACAAAUUCCUGCAAUACAUCCCAGUAGGUCCGCCUAGUUUACAACUUAAACUAGUUUGUGAAACAUUUGUCUGUAUACAUUUUAUAUUUUGUACAUUUUUGAUGUAACAUAUCAUGUAAAUAGAAACAGUGAAAUAAAUCAUCUGAAAAGUUUUGUAGUCUUUGUAAAGCCCCGACAACAAGUACUUGGUGUCAGUGGACAUAACUGGGUGAUGUAUUUUCUAUUGGUUGAUUGUUCCUCUAGCUUGUAAACCAGCUUGCAUAUAUUUUUUUGCAAAUGUGCACCCUGUAUCUGUCUAAAUUAUUACUUUGCCAUUAAAGUGGAAUUAUUUAUUGACAACAAGGUGUGGCGUGUAUAUAUGGAGAAAAUUGAAUAAUUAUGCACCGGAAGUAUCAAGCUUUAAAAUGUUGCUUGUACUAUUAAUAUGCCAUAAGUAGGGAUGUAUGUGAAUUUUUAUUUUUCAUUCCUUGUAGAAGGGACCUCAUAGCUUUUAAGUAAGGAAAUAAAUUGAAGGCACUAGGUAUAUCUUUUUAAAUGAAAAGUAUUUAUUCAGUGAAUAUUUUUAGAAAACUCUGACUAAAUGGUUAUAAAAUAAGCAUUAAUAUAAAAUAAAAUGUUGAUAUUCACUUAAUUAUUUGUUUUUAUUCCAUUAAGUCUUUUUUUUAAGCUUUUAGCUCUAAAGAUGCUUUUAACAUAAAAUAAUUUUUCUGGUGAUGCUUUAUUUUUAAUAGAGACUAUAAAAAGAAACAGAACCCCCUUUAAAAUGAGAAUUUUUUCAAAGCACCUCAGUCUCCAACCCCAGUAAUUGGAAUGUUUAUUUGGGUACCCUAAGUAGGGUUUUAAUUCUAAAAACAGGAAAAUUAGAACAGUUAUUGAGCAAAAAUAUAUAUAUUAGUUAAAAUGGAUCUAGUAUCCAUAAUGGAUUAAAAUUUAGGAGAUUGGGAAAUUUCCACAAUUCAUCUUAUCCAGAUAAACACUGAAUUAAUGCAAAACUGGAACAUAAUUCUGACACAUGCAACAUCAGGCUGCAUAAGUGUGAAUCCCAACACUGUCAUUCUUCUCUGUGUGACCUUGGCCAAUUUACUCACCCUCUUUAUGCCUAGUUUCCUCACCUAUCAAAUGAUGAGUAGAAUAAUACCCAUUUCUCACAGAUUACUGUGUUGUUCAGGGGUCAACAGUAUUUAAAAAAAAUUUUUUUAAGAGUGCAUCUUUUAACCAAGUUUUCUCAUUUAUAACAUGGGGGUAGUAACAUUACCUACCUCAUAGGGCUGUUGGUAGCAGUGAGUUUAGAUCUGUAAAGCACUUAAAACAAUGCCUGGCACUCAGGAAACUGAAUAAAUGCCAGCUGCUGUAUUAGCGCUGCCAUUAUAAUCAAUUAAUAAUGUCAGUAGUGUAACAAAUACUCUCAAGAUUCAAUUUGUAAAUGUAUUCAUGGUAAUAUUAAAGCCUUAUGAAAAGUACAUCUUUCAUCCAGUUUCCUAAUCUGUAAAAUGGGAUAGUUACAGUAUCUACUCAUAAGAUUGCUUUGAAGAUG
ensembl:lncRNA